CGGGCGGCCGCGGGCCCUAAAGCCCCUCACACGCCUCAGGGAGAAACGGGGAACCCGCUGACGGGAGAAGUGUGAGAUCCCGAGCGUGAGGUACUGCAAGUGACAAGGCUUCCUGAGUUAAAACAGGAAGGAUGAUAGAAAAGCGCUGAGUUUUACCUGACGUGCUGUGAACCAAGAGGUCCACUUUCCAGCUACUCUCUCAUUAAUUUGGCCAGUAACCAUUCAAGAAAAUCAAAUCACUUCCGUCUUCACCUUGGAUAUGACCUUGCUCUGCCUGAAGCUUAAUGGCUGUAAUGUGCGGUGUGAGUUAAGUCGAAGAUGAUUCUCAAAUGCAUUGCAGGAUGGACAUGAAGUAUUUUAUAAGUAAGCCCAGCAAUUUCAGAAGGAAGCUUUCAUUUUGAAUAAAAUGCUCAACGGCUGGUGCGACAUGCUGCCACCUCUCGCUGGCCGGGCUGCCCAGGGAAUGAAGGAAGUUCACACCCUUGACAAGGGCUUUGUUUCCCUCCCUCUGGCUGAAGACCAAGUGAAAGCGGUGCAAAGGCACUCUUUGUCACCAGGGCUGGACUUUUCAUUCUUUUGAAAUGAAAGCAUAUAGAAAUGCGGAAAGGGACGGGAGAAAGAAACUCUUUCCCACUGACUCCCUUGCAGUAUGCCCCUAAUAGCCCUGUAAAUAUACAAUGUGCAUAGUUCACCACACAGAUGUCAUUCUGCUCUUAAACUGAUGUGUAUUACUACAGCCCGGUAAUUUGGCUGGCAGGCUGGCAUACAUUUGAAGCACCCAACAAGAACCUCCCCUUUCUAGCUGCAGCAUAAAUCCUCGUGGUGUCCCCACCUCGCUCCGGAGUUAUGUAUCUCCCUCAGUUACUUGCAUUCCAAAAGCUGAUCUCCUGUCAAACUCCUUUUUUUCUCCCCCCAAGGCUGAGUAUUUUAUGCUCAUCAAGCAGUUCCUCAUCAGGCAUUUCCUCCACUCUCAAGUUAUUGAACUUUUCUGGAGAACUUCCAAGACAUGGGUAAGGUGGAUUGGGUUUUUUUGCCUUCUCUCUGCAGGCUGCAGCCCAGAGUUGAGCAGAACUUUCCAAGCAAACAGCUUUAUUCAGUGGCACCGUUGUUCCCUGAACUUUGUGAUUAACUCCUUUGCUGAUUCACCCGAUCACUCCUGUCCUUUCUUUGCAAAUGGAUCCUCUCACCUUUGUGCAAUUCGCUUCUCACCAUCUCUCCUAGGCCCCAGGUCUGAGGAACUGCUUUCCACUUCUGGCGUGUGAGUGUAUUUGUUGGAAACAGCUCUUCCGCUAUGCAACCUUCUACUUGAGGUCCUAUUUAUCUAGGUACAACCUGCUGCAGAGUAUGAGUUCUUUCCUGACAACACCCUGAUAACUAUUACCCCACUUUACAUACACUCUUAUCCAGCAAUUGUUAUUCCAGGAGACACUCUGCUAUCAAUUUUUGGUUUCCUGAUUUAUGGUCACUUCCCCUUUGCUCCAUUGCUCCAGCAUUUACGUAAAUUCCUAUUCUGGCUGCAACACUUUUAGCAGGUGGCACAGCAUAAGUAGAUAUUUCAUCUUCUGCAGGAAUUCUCAAAAUUCACUGAUCUUGCACGAUUGUCCACAAUGAGCAGCAAAUAAUCAAGACAAGCUUGAUGUAGUUUCACCUAUAAGUUUCUUAAAAAAAAAAAAAAAAAAACAACUAGACCUCUAUAGCUGUUGUUGACAUGGUUAUGUUAAAUAUUCUUACUGAAUCGAGACCUCUCAAAAU